rnacentral:rRNA from 1 species
AAACAGAACGACUCUCGGCAACGGAUAUCUCGGCUCUCGCAUCGAUGAAGAACGUAGCGAAAUGCGAUACUUGGUGUGAAUUGCAGAAUCCCGUGAACCAUCGAGUCUUUGAACGCAAGUUGCGCCCGAGGCCUCCCGGCUGAGGGCACGCCUGUCUGGG